AUUGAACGCUGGCGGCAUGCCUUACACAUGCAAGUCGAACGGCAGCACGGGGGCAACCCUGGUGGCGAGUGGCGAACGGGUGAGUAAUGCAUCGGAACGUGCCCAGUAGUGGGGGAUAACCAGUCGAAAGACUGGCUAAUACCGCAUACGACCCAAGGGUGAAAGCGGGGGACCGUAAGGCCUCGCGCUAUUGGAGCGGCCGAUGUCUGAUUAGCUAGUUGGCGGGGUAAGAGCCCACCAAGGCGACGAUCAGUAGCUGGUCUGAGAGGACGGCCAGCCACACUGGGAGUGAGACACGGCCCAGACGCCUACGGGAGGCAGCAGUGGGGAAUUUUGGACAAUGGGCGCAAGCCUGAUCCAGCCAUGCCGCGUGCGGGAAGAAGGCCUUCGGGUUGUAAACCGCUUUUGGCAGGAACGAAACGGCGCAGGCCAAUACCUUGCGCUAAUGACGGUACCUGCAGAAUAAGCACCGGCUAACUACGUGCCAGCAGCCGCCGUAACAC
rnacentral:rRNA from 1 species